rnacentral:misc_RNA from 1 species
GCUGGGCUGAAAUAUAAUGAUUAAAUGUGUUCAUUUUAUUGUACAUAAAAUUACUGUUAUGUUACAACAAAAAAAGAAGAAAUCUCAGCAAGGAAAAGAAAAUAAACUUAAAAAAAUAUGAGGCAUGAUUUCAUGAUCUGCGACAUGUUUCUUCAUUGAUUACUGGAUCACCACUAAUGUAAUUGUAUGUGUAGAAGUUUAGUUGGGAAAUUACUACGAUGAAUUUGAGUUUCUGUAAAUUCAUUCGGUGAAGUACAUUUGAGGCUAAUGGGAAAUGAUUAUUGUUGGAUACUUCGUUUCUAAAUCAUUAUAAUGCAGGUUGUGAAGAGUU